GUGCCAGCCGCCGCGGUAAUACGGAGGGUGCAAGCGUUAUCCGGAUUCACUGGGUUUAAAGGGUGCGUAGGCGGGUAUGUAAGUCAGCGGUGAAAUCCCCGAGCUUAACUUGGGAACUGCCGUUGAUACUAUAUAUCUUGAAUGUCGUGGAGGUUAGCGGAAUAUGUCAUGUAGCGGUGAAAUGCUUAGAUAUGACAUAGAACACCCAUUGCGAAGGCAGCUAACUACGCGAAUAUUGACGCUGAGGCACGAAAGCGUGGGGAUCAAACAGGAUUAGAUACCCGUGUAGUCC
rnacentral:rRNA from 1 species